rnacentral:tRNA from 1 species
GGGGGCAUAGCUCAGUUGGUAGAGCAUCACGCUGGCAGCGUGAGGCGACGUAUUCGAGUCUCCUUGCCUCCACCA